UUGAGCGUUAAAGCUGUUUGGGUCCUGUUACAAACACAAACAUUUACCGAAGUGUAGUCGGUUUAACGCGUUAUUUGUAGCGCGUGCUCCGCUGUUUGUGUUAGCUUUAGCCUGCUUGUGGCUAGCAGCGCGUGCAUUGUUUGAGGCGAUGUUAGUUAGCUUGUUUGCUAACCUGCAAAAUGUUGGUUCACAUCUCUGCAGGGUUUGUGUGUAGUUUUGGGACCAAACAUCAGCAGGUAAACUUUGAGUCAGUGUCGUACACAGCACGGAAACAGUUGGAGAAAACCAAACACUGAGUUUUGGACGAUGCAGUCCUGCAAAUUAAACAUUUGUACUGCUGCAAGCUUUAUCGAUUAGCCAUCGACAGUUUGGACAAUUGUAGAUGUAAUGAACAACAGUGACUGUUUUGAGGUGAAAAUGUCUCAGGCAGCCAAUGCCAGCCCUUCAUCACUCAUGGCCCUUCACUCAGAUACACACAAACAGAGCAUCCUGAGCAAAUUCGACAAGCUUAGGAAGAGGGACCUGCUGUGCGACAUCACUCUGGUUGUGGAAGACGUGCACUUCAAGGCACACAAAGCCCUGCUGGCAGCAAGCAGCGAGUACUUCUCCCUCAUGUUUACAGCAGAAGAUCAUAUCAGUCAGUCGACCUACCAGCUGGAUGGAAUGGCAGCUAAGAUGUUUGCAGCAGUGCUGGACUUCAUCUACAGCGCCCAGGUGUGUGUGGAGGAGGGUGCUACAGAGCAGCUCCUGGCCACGGCUUGUCUUAUGGAGGUCAACGACCUUGUCAAGGUGCUCACUGAACUUACACACUCUGCUGCAGCGGUUAGAGGUGAGAAGUUAAAGGGAGACAUUGUCGAGGUGGCAGAUCUGUCAAAACGCAAAAGAGGACGACCAAAGAAAAAUGUGCCUGUUGUUACAGAGCUGGAGGGGAGAAGCACACAGUGUGAGGGGUCAGAGGAGGGCCAGGCUGAACAUAUAGACUGUGAUGAUGUAGUAGCUGAGUCACAACCUAAAGACGAUGCAGAUUAUAACCCAGGUGCCCACCAGAGCCGGCAGAGCAAACGCAAAAUCAGGCCACCAGUGAAAUACAAGAGCUACAAGGUGGGCAGCGACACAGCAGGAAGCAAAGAGACUGGGAAGAGAGGCAGGAAAAGGAAAUACCCCAACACUGAAGCUCGAUGUGAAGACUGUGGCAAAGAGUUCAAAAACCACCUCUUUUUAAAGAUUCACCAGAGGACUCACACAGGAGAGAAGCCUUUUAGGUGCCUGGUUUGUGGAAAGGCUUUUACCCAGAAGCACACUCUGCUGGUUCACCAACGGAUGCACACUGGAGAAAAGCCGUUUGUUUGUACCAUCUGCUCCAAAGCGCUGUCCACCAAACACUCCUUACAAGAGCACAUGAACCUCCAUGAAGAAGCCAAAUCCUUCAGCUGUGAUAAAUGUGGAAAGACCUUCACUCAGAAGAGGCAACUUAAAAGCCAUUACAGAGUUCAUACAGGGAAAUCAUUACCAGAAUGUGCUCAGUGCCAUCACAAAUUUAUGGACACGGCUCAGCUGAAAAAGCACUUAAGAACUCAUACAGGUGAGAAGCCUUUCACUUGUGAGAUUUGUGGAAAGUGUUUUACAGCCAAAAGCACUCUGCAGACUCAUAUCAGGAUACACAGAGGAGAGAAGCCGUACGACUGCAGCAUCUGCAACAAAUCCUUCUCAGACCCCAGCGCCAGAAGACGACACGUCACCUCUCACUCAGGGAAGAAACCCUUCACAUGCUCCUUCUGCAGCCUCUCGUUUACCCGCCUGGACAAUCUGAAGACACAUACCAAAUCCCACAACAAGGAGCGAGCUGCGACAACAGAAGCCUCUUCAGAUGAAGCAGGAGCGGACACUGCAGCGCCACAAGAGGAGGUGCGCAACAUCCUGCAGCUGCAGCAGUACCAGCUGCCCUCCAGCUCUGAACACGAGAUCCAGCUGGUGGUGACGGGAGACGUGGACGACAUUAACUUUGUGCCAGGUCAGGACCAGGACAUCAGCAUCAUCACCACAGAGGGGGAGACGACAGAAUCGGGCCACUCCAGACUCACCCUGCUCACCCAGUCGUCAGGAAACGUGCAGAACGUGUCUCUGGUCACUCAGGGUGGCGUGGUGGAGCAGAGCCCUCAGAUUCAGACCAUCAGCAUGCUGGAGGGUCAGAUGACGCACCAACCUGAGCAGAUGCACGUCAUCACGCUGAGCAAAGAGGCGAUGGAGCACCUACAGGCCCACCACGGUCCCCCGCAGCCCCUUCACAUAGCACAGCGACCCGUCCAGCAGCUGCAGGUGAUGCACCAGCCGAUCCAGCAGCUGGCCGUCACUCAGGACAGCUCGCAGGUGAGCAGGGAGCAGCACAGCCAGGCCAUCCACAUCAGCAGCCAGAGCAGCCAGCCCAUCUCCAUCAGCCAGACCAGUGAGCAGAUCUCCAGCCACCACAUCCAGGGACAGACCUUUCAGAUCCAGGCAGGGACCGUCUCCUACCUGUACACCACGGGGCUGCCGCAGGAGAGCUGAGGGUGGGCCGGACCACUGAGACUGCCAAAUCCUGACUGAUAUGCAGCGUAAUGGGACAGGAACACGCAUAUUAAAUCUUCAGACUCUGCAUCUGCAUGUCAAAUAGCAGCUAACUUGUAAAACAAGUUCAUGCUGCUUCAUAAAACACCCAGAGGGGAAUCUCACAGGUCAGGCAACAGCGUCUCUGCAGUCCGGAUAUGCAGGCGAGA